UCAAGCUACAAAGAGCUAACGGAGAAUGCCUUGGUACAUGGCGCCGAAGAAGGACGUGACAAGCUGCGAAAAGCUGCGGGGAGCUGCAAAUGAGCCGAGAUCCGCAGAUGUCCGAAUGAGGAAACUCAGCGCGGGUAAUGCCGCGUUAUCAUACACUGAAUCCAUAGGUGUAUGAGGGGAACCCGGGGAACUGAAACAUCUAAGUACCCGGAGGAAAAGAAAGUAAAAACGAUUCCGAAAGUAGUGGCGAGCGAAAUCGGAGAAGCCCAAACCGCAUAUAGCAAUAUGUGCGGGGUAUGGACCCCGAAAAGCACGGAGAACGAUAGCCGAAUAGUGUUGGAAAGCACAUCGAAACAGGGUAACAGGCCCGUAGGCGAAAUUGUUCAAAGGCCGGGGGUAUCCGGAGUACGUCGGGACACGAGAAAUCUUGACGGAAGACAGGAGGACCAUCUCCUAAGGCUAAAUACGACCAUGUGACCGAUAGCGAAUAGUACCGUGAGGGAAAGGUGAAAAGCACCCCGGGAGGGGAGUGAAAGAGAACCUGAAACCGUAUGCUUACAAGCAGACAGAGCACCACACGCGUGUGAUGUCGUACUUUUUGUAGAACGGGCCGGCGAGUUACGUUGUGUUGCGAGGUUAAGCGAUAAAGUCGCGGAGCCGAAGCGAAAGCGAGUCUGAAAAGGGCGGAAAGUAGCAUGACGUAGACCCGAAACCUGAUGACCUAUCCAUGAACAGGUUGAAGCAGCGGUAAAACGCUGUGGAGGACCGAACCCACGCCUGUUGAAAUAGUCGGGGAUGAUUUGUGGAUAGCGGAGAAAUUCCAAACGAAUCAGGAUAUAGCUGGUUCUCCUCGAAAUAGCUUUAGGGCUAGCCUCAUGAAAGAUUACCGAAGGUAGAGCACUAAAUGGCCUAGGGGGCUUCACAGCUUACCGAAGCUUAUUAAACUCCGAAUGACGGAAAAUUGAUUCAUGGGAGUCAGACAGUGACAGAUAAGUGCCAUUGUCAAAAGGGAAACAGCCCAGAUCCACAGCUAAGGUCCCAAAGUACAGGUUAAGUGGUAAAGGAUGUGUCAUUGCAGAAACAACCAGGAUGUUGGCUUAGAAGCAGCCACACAUUAAAAGAGUGCGUAAUAGCUCACUGGUCGAGUGAUGGUGCGCCGAAGAUUACCGGGGCUCAAACCUGACACCGAAGCUUGGGGAUAGAAGUAAUUCUAUCGGUAGAGGAGCAAUGCAUACUGGCAGAAGCUGUAGCGGAAGCGGCAGUGGACGGUAUGGAAGAGAGAAUGCCGGCAUAAGUAGCGAGAGCGGAGCGAGAAACUCCGCCGUCGAAAGUCUGAGGUUUCCUGGGGAAGGUUCGUCCGCCCAGGGUAAGUCGGGACCUAAGUCGAGGCCGAAAGGCGUAGAUGAUGGACAACGGGUUGAGAUUCCCGUACCACCGACAGACAUCUAAAUGAAGCAGUGACACAGAAGGAUAGUUCGAGCGCACGGAUGGAAAAGUGCGUCCAAGGCGAAGCGUUGGCAGUUAGUGAAGUACGGCUGUCGCAAAACGUAGCGCUGACGGGGAGCGGAUUAGAGAAGCGAAGCGAAUGAAUCCACGCUGGCGAGAAAAGCUGCUAAAUACGUCUGAAGGUGCCCGUACCGCAAACCGACACAGGUAGACGAGAAGAAAAUUCUAAGACGAACGGGAGAACCAUUGUUAAGGAACUCGGCAAAAUGACCCCGUAACUUCGGGAGAAGGGGAGCCACGGCAACGUGGCCGCAGUGAAGAGGCCCAAGCGACUGUUUAUCAAAAACACAGGUUUCUGCGAAAGCGUAAGCUGACGUAUAGGAGCUGACGCCUGCCCAGUGCCGGAAGGUCAAGGGGAAGUGUUAGGAGCAAUCCGAAGCACCGAACUUAAGCCCCGGUGAACGGCGGCCGUAACUAUAACGGUCCUAAGGUAGCGAAAUUCCUUGUCGGGUAAGUUCCG
rnacentral:rRNA from 1 species